rnacentral:rRNA from 1 species
ACGAACGCUGGCGGCGUGCCUAAUACAUGCAAGUAGAACGCUGAAGAGAGGAGCUUGCUCUUCUUGGAUGAGUUGCGAACGGGUGAGUAACGCGUAGGUAACCUGCCUUGUAGCGGGGGAUAACUAUUGGAAACGAUAGCUAAUACCGCAUAACAAUGGAUGACACAUGUCAUUUAUUUGAAAGGGGCAAUUGCUCCACUACAAGAUGGACCUGCGUUGUAUUAGCUAGUAGGUGAGGUAACGGCUCACCUAGGCGACGAUACAUAGCCGACCUGAGAGGGUGAUCGGCCACACUGGGACUGAGACACGGCCCAGACUCCUACGGGAGGCAGCAGUAGGGAAUCUUCGGCAAUGGGGGCAACCCUGACCGAGCAACGCCGCGUGAGUGAAGAAGGUUUUCGGAUCGUAAAGCUCUGUUGUAAGUCAAGAACGAGUGUGAGAGUGGAAAGUUCACACUGUGACGGUAGCUUACCAGAAAGGGACGGCUAACUACGUGCCAGCAGCCGCGGUAAUACGUAGGUACAGAGCGUUGUCCGGAUUUAUUGGGCGUAAAGCGAGCGCAGGCGGUUUGAUAAGUCUGAAGUUAAAGGCUGUGGCUCAACCAUAGUUCGCUUUGGAAACUGUCAAACUUGAGUGCAGAAGGGGAGAGUGGAAUUCCAUGUGUAGCGGUGAAAUGCGUAGAUAUAUGGAGGAACACCGGUGGCGAAAGCGGCUCUCUGGUCUGUAACUGACGCUGAGGCUCGAAAGCGUGGGGAGCGAACAGGAUUAGAUACCCUGGUAGUCCACGCCGUAAACGAUGAGUGCUAGGUGUUGGAUCCUUUCCGGGAUUCAGUGCCGCAGCUAACGCAUUAAGCACUCCGCCUGGGGAGUACGACCGCAAGGUUGAAACUCAAAGGAAUUGACGGGGGCCCGCACAAGCGGUGGAGCAUGUGGUUUAAUUCGAAGCAACGCGAAGAACCUUACCAGGUCUUGACAUCCCGAUGCUAUUUCUAGAGAUAGAAAGUUACUUCGGUACAUCGGUGACAGGUGGUGCAUGGUUGUCGUCAGCUCGUGUCGUGAGAUGUUGGGUUAAGUCCCGCAACGAGCGCAACCCCUAUUGUUAGUUGCCAUCAUUCAGUUGGGCACUCUAGCGAGACUGCCGGUAAUAAACCGGAGGAAGGUGGGGAUGACGUCAAAUCAUCAUGCCCCUUAUGACCUGGGCUACACACGUGCUACAAUGGUUGGUACAACGAGUUGCGAGUCGGUGACGGCAAGCUAAUCUCUUAAAGCCAAUCUCAGUUCGGAUUGUAGGCUGCAACUCGCCUACAUGAAGUCGGAAUCGCUAGUAAUCGCGGAUCAGCACGCCGCGGUGAAUACGUUCCCGGGCCUUGUACACACCGCCCGUCACACCACGAGAGUUUGUAACACCCGAAGUCGGUGAGGUAACCUUUUGGAGCCAGCCGCCUAAGGUGGGAUAGAUGAUUGGGGUG